rnacentral:miRNA from 7 species
CGGGUGGAUCACGAUGCAAUUU